AUGAACUGCCCACUGAAGGGACCACCUGGCCAGGGUGCUUCCAGAACAAGCAGCUGCUUCAAGCCAGUGCCCAGCUCUUCCCGCCCCUGGAGCCACUGGAGGGGCCUUCGAUUCCAUGAGGACCGAAGCCUGAGCUCUCCCUCGCCUUCCACCCUGAAACCCAGACUCCUGGAGCUGUGGGAGCAGAGAUUACACACAGGGGUCAUUCAAGACCUGCCUCCGCUGCUUACAAGUUCAGGACCUUGGGUGGACACGAGGACCAGCAAGGCCGCAGAGCCCUGGUCUGAGGCUGGUGCCCCGUGUGCGGAAGUUGGCUGGUAUCACUGUGGCGAUUACUGCCUGCUGACUGCUUUCCUGGCCGGGCCUUUGGGGCCGGGUUUGGACCCCAGCAGAGAGCUACCCCGUAGGUGCUCACUCAACCUGGGACAUGAACAGGAUGGGGGCAGCCCCAGGAUGCUGCACCUGUGCCAUCAGCAAACAGCACGGGUCCCGGGGGAGCCUGGCAAGAUGCUUUUCCAAGCAGUUAGUUAGUUUCUCUGGGGGACUUGAGCAUCUGUUCCUGGUGGGGCUGAGCAAUCAAGCAGGUCCUUCCUCCUCUUUCUCCAGGAGGCAGGGGCUGGGCCCGGCCUCCUCAUCCCCUUGUCCCCCCUCCCCCCCAGUUGUCCACCAUAAUUAGGCUCAUUGCAGUUCAGGAGGGGGCGUCCGUGCCCCUUCUCCACCCCCAGACUCAGGGUGGCCCAGGCUGGGGGUCUCCCCUCCCUCAAGGGCAUUGCUGCCCCUUCUGAAGGUGGGUGGGGCGCCCUGGCCAAGCCUGCGGCAGGGGUGGGCUCUUCUGUCCUCCUCCCAUCCCAGCCCCCAGCCCUGCCUGGGC
rnacentral:lncRNA from 1 species